GGAGUGUAGUUCAGUGAUGGAACACUUGCCUAGCAUGCCAUAGGCCCUGGGUUCAAUUCUCAGCACUAGCCA
rnacentral:tRNA from 1 species